rnacentral:misc_RNA from 1 species
UUAGCUGGCGGAUUGAUAUGCUGUUCAUGGAAACUUUUGUUUUACAAGUGAAGUAGAUUUAACCAUGUAUAAACCCCAUCGACUUGGUACUUGGUGCUAAUGAUUGCCAAUGAGCCUACUGCGUAUCUUUUUUUAACAAAAAGAUAUAUUUUCCUUCUCUCUCUGGAGCGUCCUCUCUGAGCCAUUCAUUUACCUAUACCUUGAAACAUACGGAGUUUUUUACUUAUGAAUUUUUUUGACUCAGAAGGGCCUGCUCAUGAGCUUGGAUCUGCUAUCCAUUGUCUUUAUAACCUAGAGAACCGCCUGCCAAUG